rnacentral:rRNA from 1 species
GACGAACGCUGGCGGCGUGCCUAAUACAUGCAAGUUGAGCGAUGAAGAUUGGUGCUUGCACCAAUUUGAAGAGCAGCGAACGGGUGAGUAACGCGUGGGGAAUCUGCCUUUGAGCGGGGGACAACAUUUGGAAACGAAUGCUAAUACCGCAUAACAACUUUAAACAUAAGUUUUAAGUUUGAAAGAUGCAAUUGCAUCACUCAAAGAUGAUCCCGCGUUGUAUUAGCUAGUUGGUGAGGUAAAGGCUCACCAAGGCGAUGAUACAUAGCCGACCUGAGAGGGUGAUCGCCCACAUUGGGACUGAGACAAGGCCCGAACUCCUACGGGAGGCAGCAGUAGGGAAUCUUCGGCAAUGGACGAAAGUCUGACCGAGCAACGCCGCGUGAGUGAAGAAGGUUUUCGGAUCGUAAAACUCUGUUGGUAGAGAAGAACGUAGGUGAGAGUGGAAAGCUCAUCAAGUGACGGUAACUACCCAGAAAAGGACGGCUAACUACGU